rnacentral:rRNA from 1 species
CCUGGGAAACCCGAAAGAUCGAAUGGGGAGAUUCAUCGUCAGCGACGUCGGCUUUUCGGCGGUUCGCGAUGCGCGCGGGCGUUCAUCCGAGCGUUCGCGUCGCACGCGUCCGCCGUGUCUGCCAUGCCCGGCGGCGUCGGCGUGCACUUCUCCCCUAGUAGAACGUCGCGACCCGUUGGGUGUCGGUCUACGGCCCGAGUCGUCGCCUGUCCCGUCGCUUCGGCGUCGCGGGUCAGACGCUCGGUGUCAUCCCGACCGGCUGCCCGGCGGUACCCGCACGGUAUCUGGCCGCAAUCGAACUGCGUCCCAGGGCCCGCCGCAAGCGCGGUCAGUGUUCCCCGGAGUUACGGACCCAGUGCCGUUCCCGGGCCUGGCCCGCUGCUCGCCGGCGGUGUCCUCCGACAGGCCGUAGCGUCCCGUUUCGGCGGGGCGCGCACGUGAUACCGGUCGGCACGCUACUGCUUUGGGUACUUUCAGG